CAGGAGCAAGGCCCGAUCGAUCUCCGCCAGGUCUAGUGGAAAGGUAUGUGCCGUGAGUGCCCACUACAUGACUUAGUGCUCUGCUGUAGCGAUAAGAGACUGUAAAUUAGCACAGCCACGGUGGAGAUUAGUUCGAAGAUACCACAAGCUACAAGUGAAGAUAAUAUGAGGUUUCGUCAACGUGACAGGUUCCAAUUUGACAGGCGUGCCACUGAUACUGACUGUUGGUCCUCGUGCUUACAACAUUACAAGUUUUGGAGUAUAUGAUUGGAAUGAAGCUCUUAUGCAUUACGGAUUACCAAGCAGGAUUUGACAACCAGUGGUGUUGCAACCCUCUGUGUGGUAUUGGUUCAUAAACUCACUUGCACAGAUAUGUUGUUUCGAAUAACAGCGUUGCGUAGGAUCAGAGCUUUAGUUCUGUGAAGAUAUUCCUUCCCUAAAUCAAGUGUACGAGCGAAUGUCAAACUUCUGUCAUCGGUAUCUCUUGCAUGAAGUAUCUAUGUGCACCUUAUUCUGAGAAUCAAUUCUUGCUUGAAUCUGUCCAUCGAGUAUGAGAGGCAUCAGUUCAUCUUCCAAUUCGUUCACACUACAGUUAAACGCAGUCGCCAUUUUCUGCAUAUCUGCU